rnacentral:rRNA from 1 species
UACGUAGGGUGCAAGCGUUAAUCGGAAUUACUGGGCGUAAAGCGUGCGCAGGCGGUUAUGCAAGACAGAUGUGAAAUCCCCGGGCUCAACCUGGGAACUGCAUUUGUGACUGCAUGGCUGGAGUGCGGCAGAGGGGGAUGGAAUUCCGCGUGUAGCAGUGAAAUGCGUAGAUAUGCGGAGGAACACCGAUGGCGAAGGCAGCCCCCUGGGUCAAGAUUGACGCUCAUGCACGAAAGCGUGGGGAGCAAACAGG